AGCAGCCGCGGUAAUUCCAGCUCCAAUAGCGUAUAUUAAAGUUGCUGCAGUUAAAAAGCUCGUAGUUGAAUUUCGGGACUAAUAUGUCGGUCGUGCCUCGGUACGUACUGGCUUAUUGGUUUCUCCUUUCUGAAGAACCAUGAUGUCAUUUAUUUGGUGUCGUGGGGAAUCAGGACUGUUACUUUGAAAAAUUAGAGUGUUUAAAGCAGGCUCACGCUUGAAUACAUUAGCAUGGAAUAAUGAAAUAGGACGUUUGAUUCUAUUUUGUUGGUUUCUAGGAUCGACGUAAUGAUUAAUAGGGAUAGUUGGGGCAUUAGUAUUCAAUUGUCAGAGGUGAAAUUCUUGGAUUUAUUGAAGACUAACUACUGCGAAAGCAUUUGCCAAGGAUUGUUUUCAUUAAUACAAGAACGAAAGUUAGGGGAUCGAAGACGAUCAG
rnacentral:rRNA from 1 species